rnacentral:rRNA from 1 species
GCGUGAGUGAAGAGGUUUUCGGAUCGUAAAGCUCUGUUGUAAGAGAAGAACGAGUGUGAGAGUGGAAAGUUCACACUGUGACGGUAUCUUACCAGAAAGGGACGGCUAACUACGUGCCAGCAGCCGCGGUAAUACGUAGGUCCCGAGCGUUGUCCGGAUUUAUUGGGCGUAAAGCGAGCGCAGGCGGUUAGAUAAGUCUGAAGUUAAAGGCUGUGGCUUAACCAUAGUACGCUUUGGAAACUGUUUAACUUGAGGUGCAAGAGGGGAGAGUGGAAGUUCCAUGUGUAGCGGUGAAAUGCGGUAAGAUAUAUGGAAGGAACACCGGUGGC